rnacentral:rRNA from 1 species
AUUGAACGCCGGCGGCAGGCCUAACACAUGCCAGUCGAGCGGAUGAAGGGAGCUUGCUCCUGGAUUCAGCGGCGGACGGGUGAGUAAUGCCUAGGAAUCUGCCUGGUAGUGGGGGAUAACGUCCGGAAACGGGCGCUAAUACCGCAUACGUCCUGAGGGAGAAAGUGGGGGAUCUUCGGACCUCACGCUAUCAGAUGAGCCUAGGUCGGAUUAGCUAGUUGGUGGGGUAAAGGCCUACCAAGGCGACGAUCCGUAACUGGUCUGAGAGGAUGAUCAGUCACACUGGAACUGAGACACGGUCCAGACUCCUACGGGAGGCAGCAGUGGGGAAUAUAGGACAAUGGGCGAAAGCCUGAUCCAGCCAUGCCGCGUGUGUGAAGAAGGUCUUCGGAUUGUAAAGCACUUUAAGUUGGGAGGAAGGGCAGUAAGUUAAUACCUUGCUGUUUUGACGCUACCAACAGAAUAAGCACCGGCUAACUUCGUG